CCUUGAGGGGAACAGCUCCCACGAUUGUGGUAGGUGCUUGGAUCCCCCAGGAGAUGGACCAGCAGGCCGCCCACCAAGCAGUGAGGGCUGUGCGUCCCUCCCCAGGAUAGGGCCCAGGUCCUUGGAGCAGACGAUGUCCAGGCUCUUGUGGACACUGGGGGUCAGGGUGGGACGGAGGGUUGCUUGGCAAAGAGCCCGCUCCCCACAACAGUCAAGUCCAACAGUCAGGCUUAAAUAGGGUAGGCCUGGGACCAGAGGCAGGGACCUUGACGAGGCCUUCGAGGACCCCAAGCUGUCUCCACGGGUGGGAUCCCACCUGUUUGGUAUCCCUUUCUGAGCACAGCCAGGUGGGGCAUUUGGGCUUGCACCUGUAGGAGCCCUUCAGACCCCAGAGACGGGACCCUCAGCACCGCCCCUUAUCGGAACACUCCUGCCGGGAUCUCCCCUGGGAGACGCCCCUACACGGAGCCCUGCGGUCUGUGUCUAGACGUCCAGCCCUAUUGACGUCGGACAUGGCCAGGCCCGCCACCGGACCCUGCAGCCUUGGGGUAAAGGCCACAAAGAGAGAGAGGGAGACUGAGGACACAGACCAGGAGGCGGCCUGGCCUCUUCUUUGCCUCUUCAGACAGCUUCCUCUGCACACGCGGUAGCUGCCGGAAGGGGUUCCAGCCCACCUGGUCUCACAGCUUGCUGCCCUCGGCCCCCGAGCGUGGGCAGCAAAGCCCCCUGGGACCUGCACGGUCUGCGGAAGGAGCGGACGAGGGGAGAGGGGUCCUCGAGGGGCAGCGGGCCCGGCACCUCCAGGACCCCCGAGGGCCCCCAGCCGGCAGUGCAGGGGUGGUCCCGUGCUGGCUCCGUUCCUGUUCGGGAAACUGGCCACGAGAAGGAGAGACAGAGCAUGAGCAGGGGAGGGGCAGAGAGAGAGGGAGACACAGAACUGGAAGCAGGCU